GGUGGAGGCAUCUGCAGCUGGACAGAGAAGUGGUGCUUUGUUUCUCUGUGCCUCAGUUUCCCUCUUGGUAAAAUAGGCAUGGUUCCUCCUAUGGAUGUAAGAAGGACCUAGGAACCUUUGCAAGGGCAGAGGAGUCCGCCCCUCUGGUCUGACUGGGAGACAAGGUGUUCCCCAAUCUGAUGGUGGGGACAAGGUGGCCCAACACAGUGGGAAAAAUAAGGAAACUAAGGAGCUCUCACCAAAUCCCAUGAGGGAGACAGGACUGUCCAAAUCCAAUGAAGAAGAUAAGAAGCUCCAGUCCUGUGCAGCAAGAACGAGUGUCCAGUCUAUAUUUCCAGUCUGCCAGGGGAGAGCUGUGCCCUGAAACCCUCUGCCCUGCUGAAGAAUGGAGAGGACUCCCCCACCAGCACCUCCACCUAGGACACAUGGGAACUGUGGGACUUGGAGCAAAGUUUUCAAGUCUCUGUGCCUUAGUUUCCUCACCUGUAAGUUGGGGGAAUGAUAGUAACUGCUCUUAAGAGCUGCUGUAGGAAUUGAGAUCUUGCAUGAAAAAGGAUAAAACCAAUUGAUAUGGUUUAGUUCUUAGUCCCCACCCAAAUCUCAUGUCCAGUUAUGAUCCUCAGUGUAGGAGGAGGGACCUCGUGGGAGGUGAUUGGAUCGUGGGGGCAGUUUCUAAUGUUUUAGCACCAUCCUCCUAGUGCUGCUUGUUUAAAAGUGUGUAGCACCCCACCUUCCUCUCCUGCCGGCCAUGUGAAGACGUGCUUGCUUCCCUUUCACCAUCUGCCAUGAUUGUAAGUUUCCUGAGGUCUCCCCAGAAGCAGAAGCCUGUAUAGCCCACAGAAUCAUGAGCUGAUUAAACCUCUUUUCUUUAUAAAU
ensembl:lncRNA CEACAM16-AS1 CEACAM16, CEACAM19 and PVR antisense RNA 1